GGUCCCCUUCCACACUGUGGAAGCUUUGUUCUCUCGAUCUUUGCAAUACAUCUUGCUACUGCUUACUCUUUCGGUCCACACUGCCUUUAUGAGCUGUAACACUCACCGCAAAGGUCUGCAGCUUCACUCCUGAAGCCAGCGAGACCACGAACCCACCGGGAGGAACGAACAACUCCAGACACGCUGCCUUAAGAGCUGUAACACUCACCGUGAAGGUCCGCAGUUUCACUCCUGAGCCAGCGAGACCACAAACCCACCAGAAGGAAGAAACUCCGAACACAUCCAAACAUCAUAAGGAGCAAACUCCAGACGAGCAACCGUAAGAGCUGUAACACUCACCGCGGCUUCAUUCUUGAAGUCAGUGAGACCAAGAACCCACCAAUUCCGGACACAAUAGUUCCAUGAAAGCUGAAUAGGAACAGCUCCAGUCUACAG
rnacentral:lncRNA from 1 species